AGAGUUUGAUCCUGGCUCAGGACGAACGCUGGCGGCGUGCCUAAUACAUGCAAGUCGAGCGGAGUUGUUCCUUCGGGGACAGCUUAGCGGCGGACGGGUGAGUAACACGUGGGCAACCUGCCUGCAAGAUCGGGAUAACUAUCGGAAACGAUAGCUAAGACCGGAUAAUUCAUUUUCUCGCAUGAGGGGAUGAUGAAACA
rnacentral:rRNA from 1 species